GAUGAACGCUGGCGGCGUGCCUAAUACAUGCAAGUCGAGCGAACAGACGAGGAGCUUGCUCCUCUGACGUUAGCGGCGGACGGGUGAGUAACACGUGGAUAACCUACCUAUAAGACUGGGAUAACUUCGGGAAACCGGAGCUAAUACCGGAUAAUAUAUUGAACCGCAUGGUUCAAUAGUGAAAGACGGUUUUGCUGUCACUUAUAGAUGGAUCCGCGCCGCAUUAGCUAGUUGGUAAGGUAACGGCUUACCAAGGCAACGAUGCGUAGCCGACCUGAGAGGGUGAUCGGCCACACUGGAACUGAGACACGGUCCAGACUCCUACGGGAGGCAGCAGUAGGGAAUCUUACGCAAUGGGCGAAAGCUUGACGGAGCAACGCCGCGUGAGUGAUGAAGGUCUUCGGAUCGUAAAACUCUGUUAUUAGGGAAGAACAAAUGUGUAAGUAACUAUGCACGUCUUGACGGUACCUAAGCAGAAAGCCACGGCUAACUACGU
rnacentral:rRNA from 1 species